AAACUACUCCCUCCGUUCCAUAAUUCUCGUCGAAAUAUUACAUGUAUCUAGACAUUUUUUACGAACAGAUACAUCUAUUUUUGGAUAAAUUUGAGACAAGAAUUAUGAAACGGAGGAAGUACAAU
rfam:Brachypodium distachyon strain Bd21 chromosome 4, whole genome shotgun sequence.